rnacentral:lncRNA from 1 species
AGCUACAGGUUUUGGUUCUCGGCUCCGAGCAGCGCAUGCUGGCGCCCUAUCCCAAGUUAUUUUUACGGAGGGCUUGCUUCAUGUAUGGCAUAAUUCAUGACCCGGUCUCAACGGGGGAAAGAAUUGGAAACAAUUUGAACACUGAAUUAUUUUAUGAUUUAUAUUUCAGAGUAUACCUCAUAAUUUAGAUUCUUUUAUGCUCCUAAAUUAAAUAUUAAAUAGUAGAAGAUUGGAAAUGAAUUUUUUUUUUUAUGCAUUUGUUCUCUAUUGCAUUGGCUUGAAAAUAGAACAAUAUCCAAUUCCUUGAAAUCAUGAAA